AAUUAAAAAUGUCUUUAAGGCACCAGACCGUAAGACAGCAAAGCAGAUAAAAACACAGGCCACUGUAAAUCACUGUCAUCUUCAUAAUACUAAGAAAAAUUACAGUUUUAAAAUACUAUGAAAUUCAAAGUCAGAAUGGUAUCUGUGCUAAUUAACAGAAAAGAUAAACCAAUCUUGGAAAAGAGCAAUAAAAGAAGGCUUUCUCAAUAAGAGAAUUACAGGAAGAGCUUCUCAUCAUCAUUUAGGCCUUGGCUCACUUCUAAAGAAUGGUAUGAGAUCCUGAUGUAUAUUUCCUGAAAAAGCAAGAUUUAGGAGAAAAUACAAGCCUCUCCAAGAGGGACUACUCAAGGGAGGAUCUGGGCCCUUGACUUUUUAGGCAUGCCCAGAAGCACUGGAGAAGCAAGUCACUAUACCUUUUCCACUUUCCUCUUAUCUCCCCCAACUGCCUGUCUGCCCUUGGGGUCGGGGGAGGGAGUCCUUUGCCUCAGGUAACACAACUGGUAAAGCUGAGAUUAAAACCCAGCAGUGGGCAGCCCGGGUGGCCCAGCGGUUUAGCUCUGCCUCAGCCCAGGGCGUGACCCUGGAGGCCUGGGAUCGAGUCCCACGAGUCCCACGAGUCCCACGUGGGGCUCCCUGCAUGGAGCCUACUCCUCCCUCUGCCUGUGUCUCUGCCACUCUUUCUCUCCAUGUGUCUCAUGAAUAAAUAAAUAAAAUCUUUAAAAACAAAAACCCAGCAGUUCAGAUCUAGGAUCCAUGCUCUAAAAAGAUAUACUAUUCUGCUUCUCAGUUUAUGGAUGAGGUAACCAGAAGCAGAGCUCGCCCAAGACAAUAGAACUAAUAAAUGGUGAAAGCAGGAUUCAAAUCCAGGUCUGAGUGAUCUUAAAGUCAAUGUUCUAAAAUACUAUGUCAAUUGUUAUCAGGCUUUAACGUGCCUAAGAAUUACCUUGAGAAUUAGCAAAGAUGCAGACUUGCAGCUCCCACCCCCCAGGGACGGAUUUAACAGCUCUGGAGGACGGCCCAGGAAUCAGAAUUUAUACAAACACUCCAGGAGAUUCUGACACAGUUGGUCCUUGGGCCACACUCUGAGAAAGUAUAUUUACGUCCCCUUCCCCAGGAGAACAGGGCAAGAAGUAUAAAAAGGAUCAAGAUGCAAAAAGUAAGAAAAUUUUAAGUUAUGAGCAUCACUGCUCAGAAGUGAUAUAGCCCAGAAGUGACAUAAAGGGAAAUAAAAUAAUUUAAAUAGUCACAGAUGAGAGAUUCACAAUGGGCUAUUAAAAAAGGGUGUGUGUGUGUGUGCUGUUUGAAACUAAUCCUUACCUUCUGGGGUUUAUUCUUUGAAUACAAUUAUACAAACUCACAAAAUGUUAGAAAAUAAGGAUUUGGUCUAGUAUGACACCGACGAUUUUUAUUUGAAGCCCUGGCUGGAGAAAGUCAUCUCUGACAGUAAGCAGCGGCAUCUGUGACAGCAGCGAUAGGCUGAGAGUCCCGACAGGCAGCGCCACCUCAAUUCCCUAGUAUCAACAGAGGACGGGAUGAGCACGAAGGGCAGACCCCUCUGACUGAGAAAGCUGCUACCAGCAGGGGACCUCAGACCUGUAUCCUCUACUUAGCUGGCCACGGUUCUCUUCCUAGAAUCUCUGUUUUGUUCUGCUGUUCCUCUGUUCCACAUCCUUGUGACCCAUCAAGGUCGCAUCUGAACUACCUACGGGUCUUCAAGGCCUUGCACAAUGAGGCUGCAAUGUAUGUUUCCAGCCUUAUUCCAAACUUUCCAAAACACAAACCCAAUGUGUGUCCACACUGUAACUCCCUGUCUCUUGGACACACCAUAUUCCCCAUCUUUGCUGAAGCUACUUUCCCUCCUAGAGCUGCCUCCCUUCUCUCCAUCCAUUUCAGACCCAGACAGUCAUUGAAGACUCCUUAGGCCUCACACUGCCCAAGAGGUCUUUGUGCCCGCAGGGACUCUUCCUUCUCUGAACACCCACAGCAGGUGUUUUGGGUGAACGUUUGUGUCCCCCCUCCCCGAAUUCAUAUGUUGAAGCUUGAAACCCCAGUGAGGACAUAGCGAGGAUGUGACCGUUCUGUAAGCUAAGAAGAGAGCCCUCACCAGAAACCAAUUCAACUGGAACUUUGACCUUGGACUUCUGGCCUCCAGAACUGUGAGCAAAUAUAUUUUUGUUGUUUAAGUCUGUGGUUUUUUAUUUAUGGUAACCUGAGUAGACUCAUACAAAGAGACUGAGAAUUACAGCAAACACUCAGUAAAUAGCUAUUGAAUGAAUCGAAUCAGGUGGGAUCUAAACAGCAAAGCACCCGAGGAUGUCACUUAAGGAUCUGGAUCCACACUCCUCCCAGUAAAACUUUGUCCUGUACCACUAUGGAGAAUGGGGUCAGGACAGGUUCCAAUGUGGAGCAGGACAUCUCCCUGAUGCAGACUGGAGCUCCAUCCAUGUGCCAGCAGCACAGAAAGGAGUGGGGGUGGGGAGCUGAUCGGCGUGCACUGCUGUCCUCGUGUUGUGUUUUUUGGCAAGCCUUUCUCCCUGCUGCUAACAAAUCACCAUUAUAGAAGCACCAUAUAAGAACCAACUGCUUGUGCUGGAAUUAAACCUUUAAAUAUUACCUGAUAACUCUAAUCAAUACUGUACUGCAGUUAUGCUAAAUAAUUACUGGCUGAAACUGUGGCCUAGAGGUCUGAAUACAGGCCUGGAAAUUAGAAACCCGAAUUUCAUCGCAGCACUGCCACCACGGCUACUCUGCCCCUGCCUCCCAUCCAUCUAUAAAAUGAGUAUAGUGACAUUUAUAGGAGUAUGUAUUAAUUAGGAAAUUCAUAUAAAGUGCUCUGAAGAGAAUGAACAACUAUGUUCAACUAUGCCAAUGUUGAGUACCUUAAAGCUGCUUGACAGCUCAAUGAAUCAGUACCUAUCCCUUACUGGUCACAGACGUACCACCUUCUUGCAUUCAGGCCGACUUUAUAAAAGACAUGGCAGGCUCAGCAAUCACCAGCAAGAGUGAAGAAAAAAAAAAAAAAAACCACUUAGGGGCCAAACACCUCUGAAAUCAAAGUCUGGCUCUGCAACCUCCUGGCAUAGCAGCGCUGGGAAUGUUGAUGAGCCUUCGUUUCUCUGUGCCCUAUAAAAUAGGAAGGAUGCACUGUCAUAGAUAUUGGGACAACUGAGAUAAUGUGGGUGAAAGUGUUUUAAGAAUUAUAUAGUAAGAUCCUGGAGUUUAACUUCAGAUACAUUAGGCGAACAAGGAAACAAAACUGACCCCAAAGGUGGGGGAAGUCUCAGCUGGAAUAUUCACUUUGGAAUAUAUUCAUUAUGAGACUCUCAGCAAGUGGCUUACUUCUCUGGAGUUUUAUCAUCUUCUAUAAGGGAAAGGGAUGUAAAGCUGUCUGAAGACCACCCCAUCAUGGUGCGCACAAACACAACCAUUCUGCAUCAUUCUGUGAUUAGGACAAAGAGAUUUAUCAGCUCUUUGUAAAACAUGAUUAUUUAAAAUUUCAAUAGUAAGGGCUUUAUGAAUUCAAUCUAACUUUAGGAACAGUGUGUCAGCAAAUGCAGAUGUGAUCUUUAUAAAUGCUUAUAGUCCAGAAGCUUCUUUAGAGGAAGGAAUAUGUGAUCAGGAGAUCAAGCAGCUACUUUCAGCUUCUGUCUUCAAUUUUUUUUUUAAAUCUUUAUGAGAAAUAGGAAUUUGAUUUUCAGAGGCCAGUCUGGUCCUAAGCAUGAAAAGAUGACUUUGAUAGGAUUCUCUUAGUAGAGAUCAAGCAAAUUAAGAUAUAACUGGAGCAUAAGCAUUAAAAAUAUGUCAAGUUUCUAACUAAACUUUAUAGAGAGAAAGACAUUCCAUUCUACCACAGUCUAAAAAGUGCUUACUUUUCUUCAUACUAUAUGCACAUACAUACAUGUACAUAAAGAGACCCCGGCUCUGGGUACUUCAGCAAAUUGCAAACCUGUGUAGUGUUUGGAUAGAAUGGAUACCAGCCACCAACAUGCCUGAUAACCACAGGCCAAUCAGAUAUUUGAGCUUAGUUCAGAGACUUGGCCAACUUUUUCUGGGAAGAGUCCAUAAUAAAUAUUUUAGGCUGUAUAGGCCAUAUGGUGUCUGCUGCACCUAACCUUGCUAUCAGAAGUGCAAAAAGUAGCCAUAGACAACAUACACACGAAUGAGUGUGGCUGUUUUCCAAUAAAACUUCAUUUAGAGAACAGGUGACUUGUAGGCCACAGUUCUCCAACUUUUGGUCCAUAUCCUUGAAUCCUGAAGUGGAUUAGAAGACUCCUAGGAUUGACUGCUGGGUUAUUGAGGAAUACAGCUUAGUUCUAAGGACUCUAAGAAGAUCAAAAAGAUCUUGGAAUGAUAAAGGGAGGGCUUAUACAGAUGAAGGGUAGUCCUAAGGGAUCAAAGGUAUGCCAAAUCUUAUCUGUCUGUCCAAAACAGAAGUUGGCAGAGGUUUGGACAAAAUCCCAGCAGUCAGAGGCAUAGUUGAAUUCUUGAGAUGUUUCUGGGAGUCCUAGAGAAAUCAGACUUACAUGAUACGCAGAAACAUAUGCUGGGGGUAUUUGCUAAUUAGGAACAUGAUGUUCAGGGCUGAUGAUGCUAGAAAGGUUAGCCAAAAAAGGCCAUUAUGUGGGCAAAUGAGAUCCUUAACUUUGGCUGGGAGUAUUAGUUAUUUUGAGUGAGUUACAGUUAUUUUCUUAGGCAUUGCUAAGGUUUUCUAAUUGAUCAGAAAAAAAUUUUUGAGCUAAAUUUUGAGGCAAUAGAUACUGCCUACCAAUUAUAGAAUAAAGGUGAUUUUAGUCAACAAUAAAUUUACCACACAGCUUAUUGAAAAGGCUACUAAAAAGACAUCCUUCAGGAAGAAGGAAAUUGAAUCCAGAAGGGAAGAGUUAAAUAAGAUGGAAUAGUGUAAAAAAAAAAAAAAAGUGAUAAACAUAUGAAAAAAUCUAAAAUAAAAAAGGAUGAUGUGACAGGGAAUGACCGAGGGGGAAGUCUCUUAAGAAUGGGCAGUCAGUGAAGAAUCUUCUGAGGAAGUGACAUUUAAAUUGAUACUGAAUGGGGUGCCUUGGAGGCUCAGUUAAGUGUCCAAUUCUUAACUUCAGAUCAAGUCAUGAUCUCAGGGUCAUGAGAUCGAGCUCCAGGUCAGGCUCCGUGCUGGGCAGGGAGCCUGCUUGGGACUUUCUCUCCCUCUCCCUCUGUCCCCCACCUCCUGCUCUCUCUCUUAGGUGGAGAGAUAACUGAAUGACAAGGAGCCUGCCAUACAAAGAUCUGAAGAAAGCAUUCCAGAGAGAGAGAAUAGCUGAUAAAAAAAGGAUUAUGUUUGAAGAGCAGAAAGAAAGAAAACUGUAUUGUGAGAAGUUCAUGAACAAGGGGAUGAGUAGGAGAUAGGUUGAACAGGUAGGCAGAGGUCAUAUUAUGUAUGAACUUCCUUCACUGUGUUGACACUAUGGGAUCUGAUUUGAUCUAUACUAGAGAGAUUAGAUUAGAAGGGGCAAGAGAGGGCAGCCCGGGUGGCUCAGUGGUUUAGCGCUGCCUUUGGCCCAGGGUGUGAUCCUGGAGACCCGGGAUCGAGUCCUGUGUGUCAGGCUCCCUGCAUGGGGCCUGCUUCUCCCUCUGCCUGUGUCUCUGUCUUUCUCUCUG
rnacentral:lncRNA from 1 species